rnacentral:lncRNA from 1 species
GGAGUAUAUACAUUUCAGGAGAAUCAAGCUUUCAAUUCUAGACUUGAAAACCUUUAUUUGUUUACUUGAUCUCUAUUAUGACUUGUAUCUACAUGUCUCCCAUGCAGCCUUUGGCAGUCAUAGUAACAGGUCAUAAUUUCUCUAUAAGACAUCACAGAGACUGUAAGACAUCUGGAUCAUGGGCCUCAGUACCUGUAGCCUGGGAUUCUUCUGGCAGUUUUGAAGUGAAGGAUAAGUCCCUUCUCCAGGGAAGAGAACUCAAAUCCUGUACCAUGGCUGCAUUUCUCUGAAGAGUGAAGAAGCACAGGAAGCAGGUCCAGAUUUUUAAAGGAGGUGGUAGAAAGCACAUCCUCUCCUAUACUUGCACCUUUCAGAUUAAAUUUUUAU